ACCGGUUUAGUAUAAUGGUUAGUACGUGGGGUUGUAGCCUCUGAGGUGGUCAUUCAACUGGGA
rnacentral:tRNA from 1 species